GAUGAACGCUGGCGGCGUGCCUAAUACAUGCAAGUCGAGCGAACGGACGAGAAGUUUGCCUCUCUGCUGUUAGCGGCGGACGGGUGAGUCAUACGUGGAUAACCUACCUAUAAGACUGGGAUCACUUCGGGAACCCGGAGCUAAUACCGGUUAUUAUUUUGAACCGCAUGGUUCAUAAGAGCACGACGGUUUUGCUGUCACUUAUAGAUGGUUCCGCGUUGCAUUAGCUAGUUGGUAAGGUAACGGCUUACCAAGGCAACGAUGCAUAGCCGACCUGAGAGGGUGAUCGGCCACACUGGAACUGAGACACGGUCCAGACUCCUACGGGAGGCAGCAGUAGGGAAUCUUCCGCAAUGGGCGAAAGCCUGACGGAGCAACGCCGCGUGAGUGAUGAAGGUCUUCGGAUCGUAAAACUCUGUUAUUAGGGAAGAACAUAUGUGUAAGUAACUGUGCACAUCUUGACGGUACCUAAUCAGAAAGCCACGGCUAACUACGUG
rnacentral:rRNA from 1 species